AGCCAUGCCGCGUGCAGGAUGACUGCCCUAUGGGUUGUAAACUGCUUUUAUUUGGGAAUAAACCUCUUUACGUGUAGAGAGCUGAAGGUACCAAAUGAAUAAGCACCGGCUAACUCCGUGCCAGCAGCCGCGGUAAUACGGAGGGUGCAAGCGUUAUCCGGAAUCAUUGGGUUUAAAGGGUCCGCAGGCGGAUUUAUAAGUCAGUGGUGAAAUCCUAUCGCUUAACGAUAGAACUGCCAUUGAUACUGUAAGUCUUGAAUUCGGUCGGAGUGGGCGGAAUGUGUAGUGUAGCGGUGAAAUGCAUAGAUAUUACACAGAACACCGAUAGCGAAGGCAGCUCACUAGGCCUGAAUUGACGCUCAGGGACGAAAGCGUGGGGAUCAAACAGGAUUAGAUACCCUGGUAGUCCACGCUGUAAACGAUGAUUACUCGUUUUCGGCGAUAUACAGUCGGAGACUAAGCGAAAGUGAUAAGUAAUCCACCUGGGGAGUACGAUCGCAAGGUUG
rnacentral:rRNA from 1 species